UCACUAGAUCUAAUCAAUUAAGUUCAGGUUUUAGGAUGACUCAAAUGGUGCCAAACUAUGCAGUUCAAUGCAUCCAUUAGUGAGAAUUUGAGGCCAUUAAAAUUUUACUCAAAACUUUUUUUGUUGACUAAGUUUUUAUUUGUACUUUUUUAGGUAACAUGUAUAAUUUCCUUAAUUUAGGGGAGGAAGUCAGUAUGUGAUAUAAAUAUAUGUAGUGGUCAUUAAAAUCUCCAAAUACUAAUUUUCAGUUUUAACAAAUUCUUUGCCUUCAAAGUUCAGUUUUUUAAAUCCUAAAUAUGCCCUUGCUUUAGCUGUUACAUGUAUAGGCAAAAUGAAAAAACAUGUUUUAACUAAUAUAGUCAAUUGUUCCUACUAACUAACAUGUAAACAUAGUCAUCUUAUAAUAAGCUGCCAUCAAUAAAAAAACUUUGGGUUGACAUUGUCUACUAUAUUUUUAAAUGUGUUUUUAUUGUACAUAUUUAAGAAGUACAUGAUGUUUUAAUGCAUAUAUGUAGUGAAAUAAUUACUGCAAACACUUUUACAUACCCUACUCUAUUUUUUGAGUAGUUCUCAGGUCUCAUAUAUAUUUGUGUUAAAUGAAAGGAGAAAAUAAAAGUGAUCUCUGUGUGAACUCAUAAAAAUAUAAAACACUUCACUAUUCUCCCAUAGUCAAAGUCCCUUUGUGAUUUUCUCUGAAGGCUUGACUCACAUCACCUGAUAUACAAGGGCAUUUAUAUUUCUAGUCAUAUUUCUUGGCACUUUCAGAAGUUAUAGUAAAUGUUUCUCCUGUUUAUUCCAGAAAAAACACCAUUCAUAU
rnacentral:lncRNA from 1 species